rnacentral:tRNA from 1 species
AAGGAAUUAGUUAAAAAAAAAAAUAACAUUAAAAUGUCAAUUUAAAAAUACCAAUUCAAGGUAUUCCUUG